rnacentral:sRNA from 1 species
AAAAAUUUACGAUCAAACCACUAUGUGGUUAAUGAGCUAGUAACUGUCAUAUUCAUAAGAAAGUCGUUACAGCCAUUUUCGAAAUCCAGAAAAUAGUUUUUAAAUAAUACGAACAUCGAACGCAUUUAAACCACGCAGUUAUGUGAAGAAUUUUAAACUAAAGACACAACAGAAAAAAAAUCCCUAAAUGGAGAAAGAGAUCCGGGGACGUAACAUCAAUAUAUUGAGCCCACGUGUCAUUAAACAUUGAGCAGCACACUUUUUCCAAUGAUAGAUGCAAGCGAGUGGAACGGUUGCUAGGAGAUUCAGGUGCAUUACAAGGUAGUGAAGGUUGGUCAGUACUGGUGCAAGUCGGUCGGUGGCAGCCACAUACGUCAGGGAAUCUAUCCACAAUGUUGUCUGCAGUCACCACUUUCUCCUUCUCCAUAUGGCCAGUCUGUUCUUUAGAUGAUGUCUUGAACAACGUUGCUUUGACUUCUUCAUGACACCAACCACUUGACACGUAUAAAAUAUAGUGACGAUCCCUUUAGUUGUCGUCAUGGCAGUUGAAACUACACAACGUCUCAGCCAACCCACUCGAUGAACAUGUCAUGAAAGAGUUUGUAGGCCCACAGGUUGUCAAACACAUUGUCAUGUUUAGCUGUGUCAGGAAGAUAUUCCCAUGUCUUUUUUGCAAGGUUCCAUAUGCAAAUGUUAUUUGAGUAUUGGACUAAGAAAAGAGUUACUAGCUCAAUGGCCAUACGGGACAAACACUGGUUUGACCUUUAUCAUUUUUUAACGUUAAAAAAAGAAAGAAAUGAGUUUAAAUACGGUUAGAGAACGAGAAAAUAUUGAUCGUAAAUGGACACUACAACUUGAGAUAGGUCCUCAUGUAGACAUUAUUCAUUGAAGAUUGGAAUAAAUUAAUGUUUAGGAUAAUUUUGCGCAUCAUCUUCUAGCUCUACAUAUAAUUGUCAUGUUCUAAAGUUGAGUAGAUCUACAUAUCCGCUGAACUAGGAUUCUUUAUUUGGGGACGGGGGGAUGGGGCUGGGGGAAAAUGUUCCAUGCUUUUAAUGUAAUGAUCUUUAGUUAUUAAGAUAAAUA